CAGUCGCCACGGUAAUACGGAGGGAGCUAGCGUCGUUCGGAAUUACUGGGCGUAAAGCGCACGUAGGCGGCUUUGUAAGUCAGAGGUGAAAGCCUGGAGCCCAACUCCAGAACUGCCUUUGAGACUGCAUCGCUUGAAUCCAGGAGAGGUGAGUGGAAUUCCGAGUGUAGAGGUGAAAUUCGUAGAUAUUCGGAAGAACACCAGUGGCGAAGGCGGCUCACUGGACUGGUAUUGACGCUGAGGUGCGAAAGCGUGGGGAGCAAACAGGAUUAGAUACCCGAGUAGUCCCUGUCUCUUAUAC
rnacentral:rRNA from 1 species